rnacentral:rRNA from 1 species
GACGAACGCUGGCGGCGUGCUUAACACAUGCAAGUCGAGCGAUGAAACUUCUUCGGAAGUGGAUUAGCGGCGGACGGGUGAGUAACACGUGGGUAACCUGCCUCAUAGAGGGGAAUAGCCUUUCGAAAGGAAGAUUAAUACCGCAUAAGAUUGUAAUAUCGCAUGAUAUAGCAAUUAAAGGAGUAAUCCGCUAUGAGAUGGACCCGCGUCGCAUUAGCUAGUUGGUGAGGUAACGGCUCACCAAGGCGACGAUGCGUAGCCGACCUGAGAGGGUGAUCGGCCACAUUGGGACUGAGAUACGGCCCAGACUCCUACGGGAGGCAGCAGUGGGGAAUAUUGCACAAUGGGGGGAAACCCUGAUGCAGCAACGCCGCGUGAGUGAUGACGGUCUUCGGAUUGUAAAGCUCUGUCUUUAGGGACGAUAAUGACGGUACCUAAGGAGGAAGCCACGGCUAACUACGUGC